rnacentral:tRNA from 1 species
UGGGGGAUCGUCUAAUGGUAGGACCUUAGCCUUUGAAGCUAAUUAUCAUGGUUCGAAUCCAUGUCCCCCAG